AUGAUAAUGAUAGUAAUAAACGUCAUCUUCUUCAAAUCAAGCAGGCUAACUAAAUAUUAUUUGGAAUUACUCAGGCUCAUCCAUUUUAAUUCAUACUUAGUUUCUACUAGUUCAAAGGGAGAUUAUCCUGAGGGAUUACUAAUUAUUUGCUGUUGACUAGCAAUAUUCUGUUAUAUCUAAGAGCUUGGGUCAUCCUGAUCAUAAAUCUAUUCUCUUUUAGAACACGGCUUCUUUCAGAACUUGAAAAACAUUUUUUUUUCUAUUUAGGGCAGGCUUUUUCAUCCUGUUCAAAAUUUUCCCACACUAUUUAUCUCUUCAUUUAUUGUAACAACUUAAAUUGAGCUAAUUGUUAUUAAUAUCUAAUGUGCUAUAUUCACCCUCUUUGUGUUUAGUUAUAUCCCCAUCUGCAUUUUAAGUUUCUGAAAAUGAAUUUAUAUUGCAAUAUACCCCCUUCUACACAAGAAAUCUUCUAUACCUCUCAACAUACAACAUCAUAAAAUACUUGUGUUAUAUAUCAUGAAAAGAGUGAAAGGAAAUAGAACUAACCCGAGAAGAUUCCACAGCAUACAAAACUGCCCAGCUCUGCUGCCUUUCUCUCACAGCAAGAACACUUGACCCUUGUUAUCACCCUAGAAAGAAUAUCCAUUAAAGAAUCUGCCAGCAGCAGGAAAGCAGAGCUUCCACAUUUUGUUAGAUCCAAGAACAAAACAUGAUUCUGUAGACAUGAUUAGUUUCUACUCACCAGACUACAGUGGUCUCCAUGGAAACGUUGAUAGACGAACAUCUUUGUCAGGUGACAGAUCAGCAAUUUUAUGCACUAAUUAGGUAUGGAAAUUUGACCUCACAACAGGAAGUUAAAAUCUGACACAUCUUGUAUGAAUAGACCUGAAAAGUAAAGGGGGACACCGGGAAUCGAACCCGGGACCUCAUGCGUGCAAAGCAGGAGCUCUGCCAGUGAGCUACAUCCCCACAUGGUAUAAUAGGGGAAUUAGAGCAUAUAUGAAAGUAGGGAGACUGAUCCAGCACUUGUAGGGUCUGAAAGGAACUGCAUCGGGUCCUUUGAGUAUAUUUUAUGGUUUCCCAUUGAGUGUUUUAAUUAUAAUUUUAUGGCAUUUCUUGGAUGAGAAAACAAUCUAUUGUCAUUCAAAGAAUAAUA
rnacentral:tRNA from 1 species